rnacentral:rRNA from 1 species
CCUGGUUGAUCCUGCCAGUAGUCAUAUGCUUGUCUCAAAGAUUAAGCCAUGCAUGUGUAAGCACACACUGUUUUAAAAGUGAAGCCGCGAAUGGCUCAUUACAACAGCCACAGUUUAUUAGAACUUACAUACAUGGAUAACUGUGGUAAUUCUAGAGCUAAUACACGCACAAAAACUUCAACUGAAUUGGUUGAAGUGCUUUUAUUAGAACAAAAACCGAACGGCGUUCGACUUGUGUUGAACGUCGAAACUCUUUGGUGAAUCUGAAUAACUAUUUCUGAUCGCAUGGUCUAGCACCGGCGACAUCACUUUCAAGUGUCUGCCUUAUCAACCUUCGAUGGUAGUCUAUGCGACUACCAUGGUGAUAACGGGUAACGGAGAAUCAGGGUUCGACUCCGGAGAGGGAGCCUGAGAAACGGCUACCACAUCCAAGGAAGGCAGCAGGCGCGCAAAUUACCCACUCCCAGCUUGGGGAGGUAGUGACGAAAAAUAACGAGACGAUUCUCGUUUGAGAAACGUUAUCGAAAUGAGUACGCUUUACACACGCUAACGAGUAGCAAUUGGAGGGCAAGUCUGGUGCCAGCAGCCGCGGUAAUUCCAGCUCCAAUAGCGUAUAUUAAAGUUGCUGCGGUUAAAACGCUCGUAGUUGAAUUGUGGUCUUAGACAACAGUCCCCCUAUAUAGGUGUGGCACGGUUGCUCGAGAUCUUCAUUCGUGGUUGCUGUUGUUGCUCUUCAUUGAGUGUCAAUGGUGCCUCGAGAUUUUACUUUGAAAAAAUUAGAGUGCUCAAAGCAGGUUGUGAUGCCUGAAUAAUGGUGCAUGGAAUAAUAGAAUACGAUCUCGGUUCUAUUUUGUUGGUUUUCGAACCGGAGAUAAUGAUUGAAAGGAACAGACGGGGGCAUUCGUAUUGCUGCGUUAGAGGUGAAAUUCUUGGAUCGCAGCAAGAUGAACAAUUGCGAAAGCAUUUGCCAAGAAUGUUUUCAUUAAUCAAGAACGAAAGUUAGAGGUUCGAAGGCGAUCAGAUACCGCCCUAGUUCUAACGGUAAACUAUGCCAACCAGCGAUUCGCCGAAGUUCAUUUAAGACUCGGCGAGCAGCUUCCGGGAAACCAAAGUGUUUCGGUUCCGGGGGAAGUAUGGUUGCAAAGCUGAAACUUAAAGGAAUUGACGGAAGGGCACCACCAGGAGUGGAGCCUGCGGCUUAAUUUGACCCAACACGGGAAAACUCACCCGGCCCGGACACUGAAAGGAUUGACAGAUUGACAGCUCUUUCUUGAUUCAGUGGGUAGUGGUGCAUGGCCGUUCUUAGUUGGUGGAGCGAUUUGUCUGGUUAAUUCCGAUAACGAACGAGACUCUACCCUAUUAAAUAGUGACAGUAUUGCAUAUUCUGUGCUGAUCACUUCUUAGAGGGACUGGCAAAUUGAAAGCUGCACGAAAAAGAGCAAUAACAGGUCUGUGAUGCCCUUCGAUGUCCGGGGCUGCACGCGCGCUACACUGACUGGCUCAGCGUGUGCCUACCCUACGCCGGCAGGCGCGGGUAACCCGUUGAACCCCAUUCGUGAUGGGGAUCGGGGAUUGCAAUUAUUCCCCAUGAACGAGGAAUUCCCAGUAAGUGCGGGUCAUAAGCUUGCGUUGAUUAAGUCCCUGCCCUUUGUACACACCGCCCGUCGCUACUACCGAUUGGAUGGUUUAGUGAGGCCCUCGGAUCGGCCCCGCCGGGGUCGGCCCACGGCCCUGGCGGAGCGCUGAGAAGACGGUCGAACUUGACUAUCUAGAGGAAGUAAAAGUCGUAACAAGGUUUCCGUAGGUGAACCUGCGGAAG